GUGCGAACUUUUUAUUUGGAAAACAUAGAAGCACUACUCCAUUUUUUUUUUUUGAGAGAGGCACUACUCCAUGUAUGUAUCGUCGUGGUUUGGGUUGGGUCUUGCGGGUGGUUUGGAUUCUGGACCAUUAGCACGCUUGCGAGGCCCUCCGUGGCCUGCUACUUUGCCAUCGAUAUCGAGCAGCCCGGGUGCUCCCCCGGCGGCCGGGAGCAAGCUUCGACGGCUCUGCUGCGCCACGUGCUGUUGUUGGUCAAGAUGGUUAGUUGACUAGUUACGCUAAAUACUCCG
rnacentral:lncRNA from 1 species